GGAAUUUUCCGCAAUGGGCGAAAGCCUGAUGGAGCAAUACCGCGUGGAGGAAGACGGAUCGUGGUCUGUAAACUCCUUUUCUCAGAGAAGAAUUUUUGACGGUAUCUGAGGAAUAAGCACCGGCUAACUCUGUGCCAGCAGCCGCGGUAAUACAGGGGGUGCAAGCGUUGUCCGGAAUGAUUGGGCGUAAAGCGUUCGUAGGUGGUUCUUAAAGUCUACUGUCAAAUCCCAGAGCUCAACUUUGGACAGGCAGUAGAGAACUCAAGGGCUAGAGGACGGUAGGGGUAGAGGGAAUUCCUAGUUAAGCGGUGAAAUGCACAGAGAUUAGGAAGAACACCGGUGGCGAAAGCGCUCUACUGGGCCGUUACUGACACUGAGGGACGAUAGCUGUGGGAGCGAAAAGGAUUAGAUACCCCAGUAGUC
rnacentral:rRNA from 1 species